AGCGUAGGCGGCGCGGUAAGUCAGAUGUGAAAUCCCGGGGCUCAACCCCGGAACUGCAUCCGAUACUGCCGUGCUAGAGGAUUGGAGAGGUAGCUGGAAUUCUUGGUGUAGCAGUGAAAUGCGUAGAGAUCAAGAGGAACACUCGUGGCGAAAGCGAGCUACUGGACAAUUCCUGACGCUGAGGCUCGAAGGCUAGGGUAGCGAAAG
rnacentral:rRNA from 1 species